rnacentral:rRNA from 1 species
UGGGGGAUAUUGCACAAUGGGCGAAAGCCUGAUGCAGCGACGCCGCGUGGGGGAUGAAGGCUUUCGGGUUGUAAACCUCUUUCGCUAUCGAAAAAGGCCCGCUUAGGGUGGGUUGAGGGUAGGUGGAGAAGAAGCGCCGGCUAACUACGUGCCAGCAGCCGCGGUAAUACGUAGGGCGCGCGCGUUGUCCGGAAUUAUUGGGCGUAAAGGGCUUUUAGGCGGCUUGUCGCGCCUGCUGUGAAAACGCGGGGCUUAACUUCGCGUGUGCAGUGGGUUCGUGCAGGCUUGCGUGGGGUAGGAGUGACUGGAAUUCCAGGUGUAGCGGUGGAAUGCGCAGAUAUCUGGAGGAACACCGAUGGCGAAGGCAGGUCACUGGGCCAUUACUGACGCUGAGGAGCGAAAGCAUGGGUAGCGAACAGG